ensembl:lncRNA
CAAAUCUGAAACCGAACCACACAAGAAAUAUAAAUAUUCCUUCAGAAAAACCCUCAAAGAUCACCAAAGUCAAACAUCAGCAAAAUGAAACACAUACUGGGAUGCAGCUCUGGGAUCCUGCAUCAAAGCCGAGACAGAGACAGAGCUGCUGCUGACGGUGGAGGAGGUGGAGGUCCUGGUAGCAGUGGAGGUGGAGGAGGUGGAGGUCCUGGUAGCAGUGGAGGUGGAGGAGGUGGAGGUCCUGGUAGCAGUGGUGGCAGCAGCAGCAGGGUUACUCCUCUGUCUGUCUCGGCUUCUGACGUAGCGGACGGCGUUCUCCAUCUGCGUGCCUGGAGCUGGCGCCUUCCUCCUCAGGUAGUU